GGGGGAAUCUUGCACAAUGGGCGAAAGCCUGAUGCAGCCAUGCCGCGUGAAUGAUGAAGGCCUUAGGGUUGUAAAAUUCUUUCGUCAGGGAUGAUAAUGACCGUACCUGAAGAAGAAGCCCCGGCUAACUUCGUGCCAGCAGCCGCGGUAAUACGAAGGGGGCUAGCGUUGUUCGGAAUUACUGGGCGUAAAGCGCACGUAGGCGGACUUUUAAGUCAGGUGUGAAAUCCCGGGGCUCAACCUCGGAACU
rnacentral:rRNA from 1 species